UAAUAUAUUUGACACAUUUUAAACAUUAAGGUUAAUUUGCUGAUUUGGCUUGAACUGGAGAUGUAAGAUAAAUGCCCUGAAGUUCAGUCCAUCUUGAAAAUUUCCCAACCUCAGGAGCCUGAGCUUAUGAAUGCCAACCCUUCUCCUCCACCAAGUCCUUCUCAGCAAAUCAACCUUGGCCCGUCGUCCAAUCCUCAUGCUAAACCAUCUGACUUUCACUUCUUGAAAGUGAUCGGGAAGGGCAGUUUUGGAAAGGUUCUUCUAGCAAGACACAAGGCAGAAGAAGUGUUCUAUGCAGUCAAAGUUUUACAGAAGAAAGCAAUCCUGAAAAAGAAAGAGGAGAAGCAUAUUAUGUCGGAGCGGAAUGUUCUGUUGAAGAAUGUGAAGCACCCUUUCCUGGUGGGCCUUCACUUCUCUUUCCAGACUGCUGACAAAUUGUACUUUGUCCUAGACUACAUUAAUGGUGGAGAGUUGUUCUACCAUCUCCAGAGGGAACGCUGCUUCCUGGAACCACGGGCUCGUUUCUAUGCUGCUGAAAUAGCCAGUGCCUUGGGCUACCUGCAUUCACUGAACAUCGUUUAUAGAGACUUAAAACCAGAGAAUAUUUUGCUAGAUUCACAGGGACACAUUGUCCUUACUGACUUCGGACUCUGCAAGGAGAACAUUGAACACAACAGCACGACAUCCACCUUCUGUGGCACGCCGGAGUAUCUCGCACCUGAGGUGCUUCAUAAGCAGCCUUAUGACAGGACCGUGGACUGGUGGUGCCUGGGAGCCGUCUUGUAUGAGA
rnacentral:sRNA from 1 species